UACGGAGGGGGUUAGCGUUGUUCGGAAUGACUGGGCGUAAAGCGCGCGUAGGCGGAUCGGAAAGUUGGGGGUGAAAUCCCGGGGCUCAACCCCGGAAUGGCCUUCAAAACUCCCGGUCUUGAGUUCGAGAGAGGUGGGUGGAAUUCCGAGUGUAGAGGUGAAAUUCGUAGAUAUUCGGAGGAACACCAGUGGCGAAGGCGGCCCACUGGCUCGAUACUGACGCUGAGGUG
rnacentral:rRNA from 1 species